rnacentral:tRNA from 1 species
GUCCCAGUGGCCUAAUGGAUAAAGCACUGGCCUCUUUAGCCAGGGAUUGUGGGUUCCAGUUCCAUCUGUGGUG